GAUGAACGCUGGCGGCGUGCCUAAUACAUGCAAGUCGAGCGAACGGACGAGAAGCUUGCUUCUCUGAUGUUAGCGGCGGACGGGUGAGUAACACGUGGAUAACCUACCUAUAAGACUGGGAUAACUUCGGGAAACCGGAGCUAAUACCGGAUAAUAUUUUGAACCGCAUGGUUCAAAAGUGAAAGACGGUCUUGCUGUCACUUAUAGAUGGAUCCGCGCUGCAUUAGCUAGUUGGUAAGGUAACGGCUUACCAAGGCAACGAUGCAUAGCCGACCUGAGAGGGUGAUCGGCCACACUGGAACUGAGACACGGUCCAGACUCCUACGGGAGACAGCAGCAGGGAAUCUUCCGCAAUGGGCGAAAGCCUGACGGAGCAACGCCGCGUGAGUGAUGAAGGUCUUCGGAUCGUAAAACUCUGUUAUUAGGGAAGAACAUAUGUGUAAGUAACUGUGCACAUCUUGACGGUACCUAAUCAGAAAGCCACGGCUAACUACGUG
rnacentral:rRNA from 1 species